UCCUUUUAUGUUUUAAUAUGUUGGGAGAGGGGGGCGAUCUAGACUCUACGAACUCCACGCUAAUUAUGAAGACCUGGGUUGGGCUCGCUCAGGGCAGCUCUAACCCAGCGUGGGUUCCUGCGUUCUUGCCCAAAAGGCCAAGGCCCAAAGAACCCUUUGCAUUUGGCGGGGGGCUAGAGGGAAAGGAGGGGCGGGGGCGGGAGCAGGCCGGGGUCUGCAAGCCGGCAGCCCGGCGCGGCGAACUUGGGGCUCCCGCGCUUGGCCGCCGCUGCCGGCGACGCGGUUGCCCUCUCCGGGCCAGAGAGCGGGGACGCCCCUUCCCCGCCCCUGACACCCCCAGCACCCCCGGGGUCGGCGCCAGAGUCCCUGAGGCCCGGAGGCUCUGACUUCAGGCGGCGAGGCGGGCUCUGGGGCCUCCCCGGGCCAGGCCGAGUUUGGUCUGCGGAGGCGAUAGCGGGGGCGGGGGGCGCGGGCCGGGGCCAAGGAACGAGGGACCCCAAACCGGACAGGCGUUUUCCUUCCCUCCCCCUUUCCCCCGCCCCAGCCGCGCCUCAGUCCCUGCCCAAACUGCCCGUCUCCGGUAGGACUGACUGUCUGCCCGGCCUCACUCUGCUGCCAACCUUGCCCGAAAUCUAGACCCCAGACCCGACAGCUCCUGGGAAGCUCUAGAAUGUGACUUUAAACUGGAAUGACUCUGGAGAUAGUUUUGAUAUGGCAUGGUCUCAAGGCAUUCUUAGUCUGAAGUUCUUCCAGAAAGUCUGCCUCCGGUGCUGUGAUUUUGUGAUAAACUCAGAUAAAUGAAAGACAGUAUCUACUGGGAGUGUGUGAACAAAAGGAUACCCUCCAUGAACAGCAACAGCAUCAAAUAUAUGGGCUGCGUUGGGUCUUCGUUGCUGUGCUCAGGCUUUCUCUAGUUGCGGUGACCAGGGGCUACUCUUCGUUGCGGUCAAAAGAGAAAGCACAGGUUCACACCUCACCAGAGAAGAAUGAAGAUUUGAAAUCAGAAGCUGCAAGCUAAUGGACUUCAAGGCGUUCCCAGCUGAGGAGUGUUCCCAGCUCCCAGAGGCCAUCUGCAUUCCUUGGCUCGUAAUAUCCUUUUCUCCAUCUUCAAAGUCAGCAAUGUGAAGUCCAAUGAGACAACGGAGCAUGCCCACAAACAGAAGGAAUGAGUGUCAUGUGUGGGCCCACCGUUACUCUAUGCCCCAGUUCGCUACGCCCUAUCAGCGCAAAAUUCCACGGGAUUCACGGGUAUGUCAAAGCAACUACAAGGGAUCUUUCUGGCUGCUUGGGCAGGAGUGGAAGCAGAGACUUGGGAGAGGCAAAGAAGAAGCACAGAAAAGGAAGAGGAGAUGGACAGUUUUUGCUUUUCCAUCUAUUCUCUGUAGGACAAAGUAUUUGGUUAUAAAUUGGGGCCUGCAAUGAAAGUAAAAGGAUUUCUAAAGAAUAUCAAUUUUAAAUUAAUUCAACCAAGAAAUGUUUGCUGAAUGUAUGAAUUUGUUCCAAUUCUUCCAGUGUAUGAGAUAUCAUUCAUAAGUCAUUCUGCUGGUCAGAACACAGUGAUAUACAAGAACAAGCUUGAAAAGUACAAAGUUGCACCAGGUGAGAAUAUUAUCUGUGGAAAUUUAGAUUGUGGCAGCCAGAUACACUAGCUCGGGAUCCACUAGCUGAAUGAGUAGCCCAUUUUUCUCCCCAAGGAGAAAAUAACCACUUGAUCAUCAACAGUUGGUCAGGUACUGCCUAGGAGACACUGGAUCUGCAUCUUCUGCGGAUUUAGGUUCUGAAGUUACCUUAUAGAGUCAGAUUCAUUAAUAUCAAAAUUAUUCCUGAAAAUCUCUUACAACAAACAACAUCAUCGUGGAGACUGAAAUUCCAUCUCUUAAUAAAUCUGGAAUCAGUUUUUUCAUCAGCUUUGGGACAGCUUGUUCUUUCUUGCUUUGAUUCACAGAUGAAAUAGCUUGUAUUUAAAGAGAAAGGCUCAUCUUAAAACACCAUAAAAAAAAAUUCAAAAUGGCACGAUGCUUACACCACAAGAGAUGCAAAGGACCUGGACCAAAAGCAUGAAUUAACACCUCUCAGCUAAUGCUCACUCACACUGAGACCUAAGUUCUUUGAAUAUGAAAGUGGGUGGAACCUCGUGCAUCUUCUUUUUUUUUUUUUUUUUUUUUGCGGUACGCGGGCCUCUCACUGUUGUGGUCUCUCCUGUUGCGGAGCACAGGCUCAGGACGCGCAGGCUCAGCGGCCAUCGCUCACAGGCCCAGCCGCUCCGCGGCAUGUGGGAUCUUCCCGGACCGGGGCACGAACCCGUGUCCCCUGCAUCAACAGGCGGACUCUCAACCACUGCGCCACCAGGGAAGCCCUCCUGCAUCUUUUAAAAGUGUUGUUUCUCUUUCUUUCUUUCUCUGCCCCACUCUUGAAGCCCAAGUAUAUAAAGUUGAAUUUGCCUUAUCACCAAUUGAAUGUGCCUAGCAUAUUACCCUACCUAUAUACAAGGUAAGUUAAUCAUUCUCAUUUAAAAGAUAAAAACACUGAAGCUAGGAGAGGUUAAAUGUCACGUUGCAGAUCGCAUGGCUGGCAGAGCAAAGUUUGAAGAAGCCCUGACUCUGAAGAUGUUAUGUUUCCACCAGGGCAUAGCAGUCCUCCAGCUAGUACUCUGGUACUCUAUUGUUUACAGAAGCUCCACCAGGCCCCUGUCCUUAGAAGUCUAUUUAUGGACUGGAAAUACUGCUGAGACUCUAGCUGACCUGCGGAGGGACGGGGUUCUCCUCUUGUCUUUAGGGUCAGGGUCUGAAAGAAAACGCUGGGUAUCAGAUAAUUCAGCCUCAGAGCAAUUGUACAUUUGAAAUAAAACUUUAAUAUAAAAAUCUUAGCUCUUAAAAUUCUAUUUGCUAUUAGUUCUCAGGGUUAUCAGCCUUUAGGUUGAUAUUGCCAUUUUUGUGGGUGAAAAAUGUCGAUUAUAAGCAAUUUCAUGGGGUCCAAUGUAAAUUUAUCACCAUGACUUUUAUAGUAGAAAAAGCCCUGUAACAACAUAAAAUGUUUUCUGGUCACCUUAUAAAAUAUAGCCUUCUGGUUACUCUUUAUUCUGUCAACCUGGGUUUUAUUUUUCUCUUUCUCUUCAUAGCAAUGAUCAGAAUCUGGAUUUGCUUUGUCUUUUUUUUCUUACUUUUUUCCCCGCCCCUGCCCCCAUCAGUAGAAUUUACUCUCACCAUCUAGAAAAGUACCUGGAAUAUGAAAAGCACUCAAUAAAUAUUUGUUGAGUAAAAUAAACUUGAUGA